GAAGGGGAGGUUCUUUGUUAGACGACAGGCAUGAGGCUGAUACUAAUAUUGGAGGGCUAAAUGGAGCUUGUAAAGCUGCUUGCUUGUGCAUCAGUGGGACAUUGUUCAAAUGCUCGAGGUAGUUUUGGAUGUGAAUGUGUGUCCAAUUACAAGAUAUCUUGGAGAGAUUGCUGAGAACUAGAUGCAUACCCAUAUAGGUAGUCGCCUUUCUAUUGAGUGAGGAUCAUACUGAUCUCAUAUCGUAAGAAUUUGUACGGGCAUGUGUUUAGUCCCACGUUGGUUAUGCACUGAAUAAAUGUUGGAUAUUUGUACAAGGCUAAGGAAUCCAAAGAAUACCUUCCAGCUAGUCUUUUUAGGUUGGAUUCUGGGUUGCGACAAAUGGUAUGCGAAUGGACUUAGCCUAUAGCUUCUGUGGACUAGAUGAUACUGCAACACAGGUUUAUAAGGGCUGACCAUAGACUAAUUAUGGUGCUUGUGAUUAAAUUUAAAUGGAUUUAUAUCCUUAGCAUGGAGAGGAUGCUAGGGCUUAAAUGGAGGAACUAUGUGAGGAUUUGUAAGAAUCUUGCACAGUUUGUUUUUUAUUAUCGUUUUCUUCGUUUGAUUGAUCUUGAGUUGUUAGCGUUAUGCACUGUUGCCACGGGCAGUGUUCGUGAAGUCACCGGUCCUAGGCUAGCUCACAGCAAAGGGAGAGAUAGCUAAAUAUAAAUAAAGCAUUUCUCUGACCUGAGAUUUUGUGAGGAGGGCCGACGAGUUGAGAUAAUCCUUUAGUUGGUUAAAUGCCUCUUGACACUCCUCAGUCUACUGGAAGUUCUACGAAUGCUUCAGAGCCUUGAAGGACGGGAGGUAGCGCUCCGUUGAUGUGGAGACAAAUCUUCCAAGUGUAGCGAUCUGACCAGUCUGACGUUGAACUUCUUUGAUGGUCUUUGGUGGCUGCAUCUCCUGCACCGCUUGAAUUUUCUUUGAAUUUGCCUCGAUGCCUCGUUGCAUCACCAUGAAUCCCAAAAAU
rnacentral:lncRNA from 1 species